UCGCCUGUUUUUACAAAAACAUGUCCUUUUGAUAAUAAUUUAAGGUCUAACCUGCCCACUGAUAAUUUAAAUGGCCGCGGUAUUUUGACCGUGCAAAGGUAGCAUAAUCAUUAGUUUUUUAAUUAAAAGCUGGAAUGAAUGGUUGGAUAAAAAAAAAUCUGUCUCUUUUUAAUUUUUAUAGAAUUUUAUUUUUAAGUAAAAAAGCUUAAAUUUAUUUAGAAGACGAGAAGACCCUAUAGAGUUUAAUAAAAUUAAUUUAUUAAUUUUUAGUAUUAAAAUUUGGUAUUUAAAAUUUUAUUUGAUUGGGGUGAUUAAAAAAUUAAAUUAACUUUUUUUUAUUAAUAACAUUAAUUUAUGAAUAUUUGAUCCUUAAAAAAGAUUAAAAGAUAAAAUUACCUUAGGGAUAACAGCGUAAUUUUUUUUAAGAGUUCUAAUCGAAAAAAAAGAUUGCGACCUCGAUGUUGGAUUAAAAUUAAUUUUUGGUGUAGAAGUUAAAAAUUUAGUCGUCUUUUACAAAUUCCCC
rnacentral:rRNA from 1 species